rnacentral:tRNA from 1 species
UGGAAUAGCUCAGUUGGUAGAGCAAUGCCCUCGUAACGCAUAGGUCGCGGGUUCAAUUCCUGCUUCCAG